UCCAGAUUCAACAGCAUAAGAAAACAAAAGAACGGGGCCCGCCACCAUCACAAGUCCACCACCACCCACAGUCCCCCAUCGCCUCUGCGUCUCAGUGGCCGGUCAAAGCCACCGCCGCCGGCGCCGCGCCGGGCGGCGGCGGAGCGUGCCUCCUCCGGCCGCCGCUCCCUCCGUGGGCCCAGAAGCACCCGGCGCUCGUCGCGGGUCCCGCCGCCAUCUUCGCGGCCGCGGUCGUCGCCGGCUCCGACUUGCACCGCUGCAGCACCAGCGGCCGCGCCGAUGAGCACCGCACCGUCUCGUCCUCCUCUUCCUCUUCCUCGUCGUACUCAUCGAACUCGUCGUCGUCUUCUACUUCUACUUCCUCCUCCUCCUCCUCUUCUCCUUCUCCGCUCAAUACCAGCUGCGGCUCACGCGCUGGCGCUGCCACCGCUCCUGUUUGUUGCGUUGCCACGCCGUCCUCGUUCGCCGAAGCUGGCGCCUUCCGGGGAGAAGGAGAAGGCGAAGGGGAUGGGGAUGCUAACGGGGACGCCGCGGCGGCGAGGGCGUCCCUGGCCGGCGCCGGCGUUGGCGCCGUGGCGGUGGAGGGGAACCGGGAGGUGAGUGGCGACGUGCGGUUCUGCGGCGCGGACCGGCAGCGCAUCAGCAGGAGCGCGUUCUUGGGCGGCGUAGUGGUGGCGGACGACACGGCCAGCGGCGCGUCCCGGUCGCCGUCGCCGUCGCCGAUCCCCACCUCCUGUUCUCCGUCCCGGCCGGUCGACCCCAAGUCGACGUCCCCGACGCCGAGCUGCACCUCGUCCUCGGCCCGGCGCCCGCUGCUCGGGUCCGCGGGCGGCUUGGGCGCGGCAGCAACAGCGACGUCCCGGCUGCUGAACACCCAGGGCGAGCGGCGCCCGCGCUCCGCCGGCGGCUCGUGCCUCCGCUUCCGCGCGUCGGACGCGAACAGCCCGCCGCACAGGAACGCCCUCUUGAGGCAGCGGCAGUAGUAGUAGUAGCCGCCCCUGGCGGCGCCCUUGUCCCGCGCGGCCGCCUUCCCCACCGCCGGCGCCGUCGCAGUCGCAGGCUUCUUCCCCUUGCGCAUCCGCACCUGGCCAAUGCAGGUGACCUUGGGCGACGAGGGCUCCCCGUCGUUGGCGGCGCGGGUGCGCGCGCCGCGCGACACGAACAUGGGCGACGUGGCCGGCGGCGCCCGGCGCGACCGCGCGCCCCGGCGGCUCUUGCUGAGCAGCAGGCGCGCCAGGCCCGGCGCCGCCAGCUGCGGCUUCUCCGCGCGGCCCGGGCUCGCCGCCGGCGGCUUCAUGGCUGGCUGGCCGCAGCGGAGGGAGGGAGGUGGAUGCCGCCGCGCGCGGUAGCGAGGUUAAUUAAUGAGGCGGCGCGGACACAGUGGGGGGACUGGAGGGGGGCGGGCGGUGGGCGCGGGCGUGCGGAUUAAAUGAGGCGACAGGCGAGGCGAGCUCCGGAUCCUCCGCUGCUGGCGUGGGAAGCGUCAAGCUAGCGCUCGUGUCGU
rnacentral:misc_RNA from 1 species